CGGCGGACGGGUGAGUAACGCGUGGAUAACCUGCCUCAUACAGGGGGAUAACAGUUAGAAAUGACUGCUAAUACCGCAUAAGACCACAGCACCGCAUGGUGCGGGGGUAAAAACUCCGGUGGUAUGAGAUGGACCCGCGUCUGAUUAGCUAGUUGGUAAGGUAACGGCUUACCAAGGCGACGAUCAGUAGCCGACCUGAGAGGGUGACCGGCCACAUUGGGACUGAGACACGGCCCAA
rnacentral:rRNA from 1 species